CGGGGCCUGGCGGGGGCCGGGGACGCUCAGCGCUCCGGGGGCGCUGGGUGGGCGGGCGGGUGGAGGCGGCCUCGCUGCAUUCUGCUCAAUCACCACCUCUCGACUCUGCCCACGAUUUCUUUGCAGAGAAACGUGGGGAAGUCGGUGGGGUUUGUUUUUGUUUUGUUUUGUUUUCCUUUCCCUGCGACGUGUCGAGUCCUCCGGCCCCCGUGCGAGCCGCACACGCCACCCGGGGCAGGGGCUCUGCCGGUCAAGUCCGCGCGGAGGACGCAGUCGCUGCAGCUUCCGCGCUGGGAACCCACCUGUCCGCACCCGCGGGCUGAGUCUCUGCGGUUGGGUGUAGACGGGGGCCAGUUGUCCAGCCCAGCAGCCACCAGCCGGGUUCACUCCAUUCUUGACUUAACUGGAAGUGAGGGAAGGGGGUCAGCACGGGCCGAAGAUGGUCCUAUCUCACACGCACCAUCGGGCCCAAAGGCAUCCUCAUCCUCGUGCCCUCUUCCCUUGGGCGGGAAUCUCAGACUCUGUCCGCUGAGUCAGUCCGGGGCGACGGGGAAGGGGUCAGAGGAGAGCAUUUAGUGAGAGCCUUGUCACUUUAUUACUUACCCUAAUUAAGUUUAACCGUUUGCUUGCCAUUUCUUUGCUAUUUAGAAUGGAAGUGCUGAGGUGUUGAGAAGUGAAAACGGAAGAGGGGAGAGGACCAGAGCCUUGGGGUGCAGCCCUGCCCCACUCGCAGGUGUUCCUUUAGGCCGCUUGCCCCGUGCGUCCAUCAACCCACCCCACCUUUCCCCAUCUGGGCUCCAGGUCCAGGACGUCCUGCCGAGAUCGGUGGGGCAAAAGACACAAACCGACAAGGCCUGGGGAAAGGAGCAGAAUGCCUCCACCUGGAUAGGAAAACAAAUCACGUGUGUCCCUCGCUCAUCUCCAGCCAAGGCUAUAGUGAACUGAAGUACUCAGACAUAUACAGAAGGAUAUGUAUAAAAAGAUUCACUACAGCUCCAUCCAUCAACAGGAAAAUGAAACUACACUUUCUCAGAAACGAGGUCAAAUCUAAGAUAAAUUCCUUUGGAGUUUGGACACUCAAGAUUCUGAUGAACUUAAAUGUUUCUCUGCUGAUGACAAUGUACUGCCAAUUCAUGCUUUUCUAUGAUCCUAUUUGGUGGUUCCUAGAAAAUACACAGUAUCUUCAUGAAUAUUUUAAGAUUUAAAGAUGUUAUAGUAUAGAAGAGAAAAUAGUUAUAAUAGCAAAU